ensembl:lncRNA
ACUGCCUCAAUUGUUGCUGUGUCAGUCCCCACAGCUCCUGGGCUAGGCUUCACGGAGAGCUCUGCCAUGACGAGCAGCAGCAGCAGCACCAGUUGGACACAGCAGUGAGCCUCGGAAGUUCUGGCAGAUGGAGCACUGCUUUGCUGCCAUUCCUGGAGUGAGACAGAUGAGAAGCUCCAGCAUGUUCUUUUGUUUCAUAGAAAUAAUAGAAAAUCCCAGAACGGAAGGAACCUCAGAGAUUAUCUGUUCCAACCUUUCAUGAUAAAUGAAGAUUGUCUAACAACCUGUCUAGCUGAACCUUAAAAAUCUGAAGUAGAAUCUAACACAUCCUUGGGGAGGUUAUUCCAAUGAUUUAUUGUUCUCACAAUAAAAAAAUUUCCUUUUUUUUUUUCAGCAGAAUAUCUCCUAGUGCAACAUUUACCCAUUGUCCCUUGUCUUUUCCAUGUGGCUCCCUGUGAAAAAGGAGUUUUUACCUUCUCUGUAGUCACCCUUUAAUAACAGAACACAGAGAUGAGGUCUCCCCUGAGCUUUCUUUUCUCUAGACUGUACAAAUCCAGUUCUCUCAAUCUUUCCUCACAUGACAGGCUCUCCAGUCAUCUGAUCAUCUUAGUGACUCUUCUUUGGACCCUCCUCAGCCUGUAAACAUUUUUGUUUCUGCUAUUCUCCUAUCAAAAAGAAUUAGAAGUUUUAACAUUAAAAAUAAUAAGCAAGACCCUCAUAAAACACAGCUAGAAGAAAUUAACUACAUAUACAUUUAUGUAUUAUAGUAACAUAUGCGUAAAUAACAUCAUAAUAAGGUAGUAUAAAUAACAUUUUACGGCUGUAACAUGAACAGCUUGUAAUAAAUGGAAAUAAACACAUAGAUGACAACACCGUUUUAUGACAGCCUGCAUGCUUUUGGUCUUCAUUUUCGUGAAUACAUACUACAUUCUUUGUGUACUUUUCUUAAAGAUCUGAAUACCUCUGUCCUUAUCAGGUAGAAAGCACUCAAAGGUUGCAGUAAUGAAAGAGAAAUCUGUUGUCCCUGGAUGGGACUUUGAGCAGCCUUGUGUAGAGGGAAGUGUUCCUGCCUAUGGCAGGGGGGCUGGAACUAGAUGCUCUUAAAGGCACCUUUCAACUCAAACCAUCCUAUGAUUUUAUAAAAGAUUUGAAUACAUAAUUUUUGUUACUAAAAAAAAUGACCUAAAGAUUUUAACCCUGUGUGGCAGUGAAUCAUAAGUUAUGCUGCCACUGCUAUAACAGGAAGAAUUGUAUACAUUUCCAGAGAAUUUGGAUGGUGUCCUAUGAAAACGAGGUUUAGAAAACUGAUAGACUCAGUGUUGCUAAAAUUUCAUAAUUAUUUUAGUAAUGGAAGGAUAAUUUCUAAAAAUGUAAGUAGCAAAAUAUAAAUAAUGUUAUAAAUAAUGAAUGGAGAGGAACAGCACAUAGGUGUUGCACAAUAUCAAAGUUUAAGGAGCAUUUAGAGUAUUAGAGUAAUUAUUGUCUUCAGUCAAAAGUUGCUCUCAGUGUCCUUUUCUAUAGUAAUAUGUACUUAAAUGUUUCUGAAGAUACAUCUGCGAUAGCUAAUAGCAGACAUAGUAACCUCUACAAUGUUCUAAACAUAGUAGAUAUGAUUCUAAGUAGUGUCUGUGCUAUGUCACAUACAUUUAAUGUUAUAUUUUGUAUUCUGCUAGAAAGCUCUAGUGUUGUCACAUUACAUAUUUAGCUUCCAAAAUUGAUUGACAGCUCCAGAGAAAAGAGUAUAUGGUAUUCCACUUCUUAUCUGAGUCAAUGUUUUUCUCAAUACUGUGAAGUAAAUGAAAAUAAAGUGCUUAAAUCUACUGCUUAUGAUAAAGAAGACUAAAUCUCAUUCUAAUGAAUGUGAAAUACAACUUGUCAUGUUCCUUUCACUUUGUAGAAAUGCUACCACAAGGCUUAGCCAGUUAAGUCUAAUAUGUUGACAUUUAUUUUUGCUGCAAUAAAUGUUAGGAUUAUAUUUUUGCAUUAAAUUCUGGCAUUUUUAAAGAUC